UACGUAGGGUGCAAGCGUUUGUCCGGAAUUAUUGGGCGUAAAGGGCUCGUAGGCGGUCCGUCACGUCGGGAGUGAAAACUCAGGGCUCAACCCUGAGCGUGCUUCCGAUACGGGCGGACUAGAGGUAUGCAGGGGGAGAACGGAAUUCCUGGUGUAGCGGUGGAAUGCGCAGAUAUCAGGAGGAACACCGGUGGCGAAGGCGGUUCUCUGGGCAUUACCUGACGCUGAGGAGCGAAAGCGUGGGGAGCGAACAGG
rnacentral:rRNA from 1 species